rnacentral:tRNA from 1 species
GCGCUGGUAGUAUCGAUACGUACACCUGCCUUCCAAGCAGAAGGCCCACAACAUGGCCAGCACA